UACAGAGGUCUCAAGCGUUGUUCGGAUUCAUUGGGCGUAAAGGGUGCGUAGGUGGCGGGGCAAGUCAGGUGUGAAAUCUCGGGGCUCAACCCCGAAACUGCACUUGAUACUGCCUUGCUCGAGUACUGGAGAGGAGACUGGAAUUUACGGUGUAGCAGUGAAAUGCGUAGAUAUCGUAAGGAAGACCAGUGGCGAAGGCGAGUCUCUGGACAGUUACUGGCACUGAGGCACGAAGGCCAGGGGAGCAAACGGG
rnacentral:rRNA from 1 species